GUGUUUAUGUUAAAUUUUAUUUGGUGCAUUUUAUUUUAGUUCAUUUCGUGAGUUUUUUUAUAGAAAAAGUAUGUUUACGUCAUUUGAAUAAAGAUUCUCUUAUAGUAUAAAUAUAUUACCAUAUUAAAUAAAUUUACUCUCACUUUAAAUAAAGUACUUGUUGGAGCAGAAAAUUUCAGGUACUCCAAUUCUCCACCAAUAAGUAAUUUUGAACACGUUGAGAAGCCUUGGACAUCAUCUUCGCUUGUCAACAAUGAGAGCGGGGGGACCUGCAAGAAAACACUUCGACGUCCAAGUCAGUAUUUGUUUAGAAUGCUUAUAAAAUAUAGAAUGAUCUCCUACCUCCUUUUUCUCUCCCCUUUUCUGGUGGGAUUAUUAGCCUUUUAUAGGCAUUUAAGUCUUGGGCUCCAAGUCCCACUUUCCUUCUAUUUCUCCAUGUUCCACA
rnacentral:lncRNA from 1 species